GCGUAAAUUACCCAAUCCUAAUACGGGGAGGUAGUGACAAGAAAUAUUGAUAUUGGACCCAAAGGGUACAAUGAUUGAAAUGAGAACAAUAUAAAAAACUUAACGACUAACAAUUGGAGGGCAAGUCUGGUGCCAGCAGCCGCGGUAAUUCCAGCUCCAAGAGUGUAUAUUAAAGUUGUUGCGGUUAAAAAGCUCGUAGUUGAAUUUCUGAAAAUAAUCUUGUGAUUGAUUUAACCGUCAUGAACAAAAAUUGUUUACAUACUUGAUAGAUGGAAACAUUUAUCUUAAUGACUUUGAAAAAAUUAGAGUGUUCAAAGCAUGAUUCACAUUUGAAUAAUACAGCAUGGGAUAAUAUAAUAUGACAUUAGUUAAAAAUUUGUUGGUUUCUUUGGCUAAUGUAAUGAUUAAAAGGG
rnacentral:rRNA from 1 species